AGAGUUUGAUCAUGGCUCAGAGCGAACGCUGGCGGCGUACUUAACACAUGCAAGUCGAACGGGGAUCAUGCCUGUGAGCAAUCACAGAUGUGGUUCUAGUGGCGCACGGGUGAGUAACACGUGGGUAACCUGCCCUUGAGUUCGGGAUACCCCCUCGAAAGGGGGGCUAAUACCGGAUACGUUCCCUGGAUCGCGAGGUCUAGGGAGGAAAGGUGGCGCAAGCUGCCGCUCUUGGAGGGGCUCGCGGCCUAUCAGCUAGUUGGUGAGGUAACGGCUCACCAAGGCUAUGACGGGUAGCUGGUCUGAGAGGACGACCAGCCACACGGGGACUGAGACACGGCCCCGACUCCUACGGGAGGCAGCAGUGGGGAAUUUUCCGCAAUGGGCGAAAGCCUGACGGAGUGACGCCGCGUGUGGGACGAAGGCCUUCGGGUCGUAAACCACUGUCAGUGGGAAAGAAGGAUGCCGUUGCGAUAACCAGCGGUAUCUGACGGUACCUGCAGAGGAAGCCCCGGCCAACUCUGUGCCAGCAGCCGCGGUAAGACAGAGGGGGCAAGCGUUGCUCGGAAUUACUGGGCGUAAAGGGCGCGUAGGCGGGACGGCAAGUCGGUUGUGAAAUCCUCCGGCUCAACCGGAGAACGUCGACCGAUACUGCCGUUCUUGAGGGUUGCAGAGGAGACUGGAAUUCCCGGUGUAGCGGUGAAAUGUGUAGAGAUCGGGAGGAACACCGGUGGCGAAGGCGGGUCUCUGGGCAAUUCCUGACGCUGAGGCGCGAAAGCGUGGGGAGCAAACGGGAUUAGAUACCCCAGUAGUCC
rnacentral:rRNA from 1 species